rnacentral:rRNA from 1 species
GAUGAACGCUGGCGGCGUGCCUAACACAUGCAAGUCGAACGGAGAUUACGGACGGAAGUUUUCGGAUGGAAGACUGUAAUUCUUAGUGGCGGACGGGUGAGUAACGCGUGGGCAACCUGCCCUAUACAGGGGGAUAGCAGCUGGAAACGGCUGGUAAGACCGCAUAAGUCGGCGAGACCGCAUGGUUUUGCCGGGAAAUGAGCAAUCAGGUAUAGGAUGGGCCCGCGUCCGAUUAGCCAGUUGGCAGGGUAAAAGCCUACCAAAGCAACGAUCGGUAGCCGGACUGAGAGGUCGGACGGCCACAUUGGGACUGAGACACGGCCCAAACUCCUACGGGAGGCAGCAGUGGGGGAUAUUGCACAAUGGAGGAAACUCUGAUGCAGCGACGCCGCGUGAGUGAAGAAGUAUGUCGGUAUGUAAAGCUCUAUCAGCAGGGAAGAUGAUGACGGUACCUGACUAAGAAGCCCCGGCUAACUACGUG